rnacentral:rRNA from 1 species
CCUACGGGUGGCUGCAGUGAGGAAUAUUGGUCAAUGGGAGGAAUCCUGAACCAGCCAUGCCGCGUGCAGGACGACGGCUCUACGAGUUGUAAACUGCUUUUGUACCGGGGUAAAAUGCUCUACGAGUAGGGUUUUGAAAGUACGGUACGAAUAAGGAUCGGCUAACUCCGUGCCAGCAGCCGCGGUAAUACGGAGGAUCCGAGCGUUAUCCGGAUUCAUUGGGUUUAAAGGGUGCGUAGGUUGUUUUAUAAGUUAGCGGUGAAAUACCGAUGCUCAACAUCGGGGCUGCCGCUGAUACUGUAGGACUAGAGAUCGGAUGCAGCAGGCGGAAUUCGUCGUGUAGCGGUGAAAUGCUUAGAUAUGACGAAGAACCCCGAUUGCGAAGGCAGCUUGCUGCAGCGGAACUGACGCUGAUGCUCGAAAGCGCGGGUAUCGAACAGGAUUAGAUACCCUUGUAGUC